GACGAACGCUGGCGGCGUGCCUAAUACAUGCAAGUAGAACGCUGAAGGAGGAGCUUGCUUCUCUGGAUGAGUUGCGAACGGGUGAGUAACGCGUAGGUAACCUGCCUGGUAGCGGGGGAUAACUAUUGGAAACGAUAGCUAAUACCGCAUAAGAGUAGAUGUUGCAUGACAUUUGCUUAAAAGGUGCAAUUGCAUCACUACCAGAUGGACCUGCGUUGUAUUAGCUAGUUGGUGAGGUAACGGCUCACCAAGGCAACGAUACAUAGCCGACCUGAGAGGGUGAUCGGCCACACUGGGACUGAGACACGGCCCAGACUCCUACGGGAGGCAGCAGUAGGGAAUCUUCGGCAUUGGACGGAAGUCUGACCGAGCAACGCCGCGUGAGUGAAGAAGGUUUUCGGAUCGUAAAGCUCUGUUGUAAGAGAAGAACGAGUGUGAGAGUGGAAAGUUCACACUGUGACGGUAUCUUACCAGAAAGGGACGGCUAACUACGUG
rnacentral:rRNA from 1 species